rnacentral:lncRNA from 1 species
UACUGGGAUUACUGGGAGCACUGGUGGUACUGGGAAUACUGGGGAUACUGGGGGGGAAUGGGGAGUACCAAGGGCACUGGAGGGUACGCGGGGUUACUGGGGGACACUACUGGGGGUACUGGGGAUACUGGGGAGUACCGGGGGCACUGGAGGGUACUGGGAAUACUGGGGGGCUGGGCGGGGUACUGGGGUGCUGGGGAUAGUGGAGGUACUGGGAGCACUGGGCCACUGGGAGGCGCUGGUGGUACUGGGAAUACUGGGGGGACUGGGAGGGGACUGCGGGCACCGGGGAUAGUGGAGGCACUGGAGGUACUGGGAGCACUGGGCCACUGGGAGGCGCUGGUGGUACUGGGAAUACUGGGGGGACUGGGGGAUACUGGGGACACUGCAGAUACUGGGGACACUGCAGAUACUGGGGAUACUGGGAGCACAGGGACACCGGGGGUUCUGCAGGAUACUGGGGGUACUGGAGGAACUGGGGGAUACUGGGGGGAGGCACUGGAGGCACUGGGAGCACUGGGGGCACUGGGGAUACUGGGUGGCAGUAGUGGAACUGGAAGCACUGGGAGGUACUGGGGCACUGAGGGAUACUGGGGGGCCGCUUGGGGACACUGGGCAUACUGGGAGCACUGGGAAGUAGGGGUACUGGGAGCACUGGGAGUUACUGGGGAUACUGGGAGCACUGGGGAUAGGGGGAUGCUGGAGGUACUGGGUGGAUACUGGAGGGCACUGGGGGGUACUGGGAACACUGGGGGGUAUUAGGGGAUACUGGGAGCAGUGGAGGGUUACUGGGAGCACUGGGGAUGGGGGAUUGUGAGGGAUAGUGGGGCAUACUGGGAGCACUGGGAGCUACUGGGACGUACUGGGAGCACUGGGGAGGAGGAGAUAUUGGGAGCACUGGGCGUUACUGGAAGCACUGGGCCAUACUGGGAGCACUGGGAGUUACUGGGACGUACUGGGAGCACUGGAGAUGAGGAGUUACUGGGAGCACUGGGAGUUACUGGGCCGUACUGGGAGCACUGGGGAGGAGGAGUUAUUGGGAGCACUGGGCCGUACUGGGAGCACUGGGAGUUACUGGGACAUACUGGGAGCACUGGGCCAUACUGGGAGCGCUGGCCCCGCCUCCCCGGAAGCCCCGCCCCCCCGCCCCUCGAUCCUUGACGUCAUCACUGGGCGCCGCGCGCGCCGCGCCAGGCCCCUCCCCUUCCGUGACGUCACAAUCAGGCGCCCCC